UCUAGGUUUUAUUGUACUAAUGUGACCUCAGAGAAUCUCAGCUAAGGUUUUGUCGGUGGGAGCCAGAAUGUAAUGUGAAAUGUGAAAGAGUGUAUUAGUCAGGGUUCUCUAGAGUCACAGGACUUAGGGGCAGUCUCUAUAGAGUAAGGGAAUUUGUUGAUGACUUACAGUCUGCAGUCCAACUCCCAACAGUGGUCAGGAGCAGCUGUGAAUGGGAGUCCAAGGAUCUAGCAGUUGCUCUGUCCCACCUGGCAAGCAGGCGAAGGAGAGAGAGAACCUUCCUUCUUCCAGUGUCCUUAUAUGGACUUCAGCAGAAGGUGUAGCCCAGAUUAAAGGUGUGUUCCACCACACACCAAGAUCCAGAUCAGAAACUUCUAUCUCCCAGCCUCCAGAUAAGGGUCACUGGUGAGCCUUCCAAUUCUGGAUUGUAGUUCAUUCCAGAUAUAGUCAAGUUGACAACCAGGAAGGGCCACUACAGAAAGGGUGUGGUCAGGUAGGAGUUCAAUGAUUGAUUAACCACAGGAGUGAUCCGUAGGCCAUGUCUCUCACUGCCCGCUCUGACUAUUGAAUGCAUUCUAUCUUGUUUGCGUAGUAAAAUAAGUUUCAUGUAGGACCCAGGAUGCUCUCUAGCAUUUUAAAAGGCUAAUGUGCACUUUACAACCACCGAUAUAUUUGGUCUAUUCUUCAGGAUGAAGUAAGGGAAAAUAUAGCUCGUGGAAUGGCAAUCCUGGGCCCCACAUUCACUCUUGACGCUCUUGUGGAAUGCCUUGUGAUUGGAGUUGGCACCAUGUCAGGUUUGUAAACAAUUUCUAGUACACUUACAGUUGUCAUUAAAAGGGAAGAUAGCAGAUCUGAUAUUUACAUUGUUUAUUCUUGGAUUCUGACCUGAGUGACUUGAACGGGGAUAUUGUAAGUGUGUGGAGCUAUGGACCUCUGUGCAUGGUAAGAAAGUAGUAACAGGUUUCGGAUAUUGCCCAUGCUUGCUGUCCUCUCUUUUUGUGUCCACUUGUGGUACGUGGGGUUUGCUCUUGGUUUAUAACCAAGAUGGUAUUGCAAGGCCUGGAGACCCUUGCUGUUAUCUGGGCUGAAGUAGGGAUUCCUUUCCUUGUAUUUUAAUUGCCAUGUUGGAGGUGGUGCAAGAGGCCAGAUCUAAGCAGGUAGUUGGGAAGGUUUAAUUAGGUACUAGGCCAUACAUCGUAGCCUGCCGCAGCACCAACCUCUACACACUUCCUCAUCCUUAAAGCAGCACGGAGAAUUAAUACUAAGCUUCAAACAGGACUCCAUUACGUACAGUGGAGAUUUGCCAGAGUGAAUGUAUCAUGCUAUUAUGAGGCAUCCUGGUCUUAGACUAGAUUUUUUUAAGUUCUGGUUUUGUGUGUGUGUGUGUGUCCAUCCAUCCAUCUGUGGCCCCUGGAGUUAUAGGUGGUUGUGAGCUAUCUAAUGUGGGUGCUGGGAACCAAACUGGGGUCCUCUGCAAGAGCCCAAGACACUUUUAGCUGUUGAGUUAUCUGCUACUCCAACCCCUAAUUGUCUUUCUUUUGGGAGAAAAUUUGGUUGUCUCUGUAUUCAUUUAUUAAAUAUUAUGUACUUCUUUAAAUUUCUGAUAGUAAUAACACAUAUUCUACUAUUCAACAAAGGUUUUUAUUUAGGAAAGAAAAAACAUUCUAAAAAUUGUUUUAAAAUUUACUGCUAAGGAUAGGGCUCAGCGGCUCAGUCUAUAGCACAUGUUUUCUCAGACUUUAAGAUGUACUUUGUGUAACCUAGGAAGAUGGCAGGUAAAGCACUUGCCAUGAAACGAUGAGAGCUGAGUUGGGGUUUCUAGGACCCGCGUAAGCCUGCCAUGGUAGCGCGUCUCUGCCCUCCCAGUGCUCCUGUGAUGGGGCAGAGGCAAAGAGAAUUUCCAGAAGUUGAAGCUCUAGCUGUAGCUAACCUGUGGUAUCGCAAAGAGACAAGUCUGUCUCUAGUAACACAGAUACAAUAACAGACAACUGAUACUGUCCCCUGACUCCAUACGUGCCCCACAAUCACACACACACACACACACACACACACACACACACACACACACACACACGGAAAAAUUACCUUCUUUAAAGGUAUAGUUUUGAGUUUUAAUGACGAUACUGUCAUGUCAUCACCACUAAAUAAAAUGUUGAUCAGGUGAAAACACAGCCACAUAAACAAGAGAGUUUGAGAUGUUGCAGGUGGGCCAGGAAGUUACAGGCCUGGAAGCAAAGGCUGUGUAUUUGAAUCUGAUGCAGAAAGUAGUAGGGCUGAUGCCUUGUCUUGAAUCAUUAGAGAAAUGAAUCAAAGAAUUGGGUGUGUCGUGGCAGAAGCCACUGAAGUCAUCUUUAUCUGCAGAAAUAGGGCUUAAAAUUAAUUAGGCAGCAACCCACUGCCUACCUUUUUACACAGUGUGAGGGAUUGAUCCUGGAGCUUGUAUGUGCUUUGGACACAUUCUGCCACAUCCUGGGCAUAACUGAAAAGGCCAGUUCAGAAAAGGGUUGGGCUAAGUGUAGCUAACUCAGUGCUACUAUGUACUUUGCACAUAUAAAGGUACAGGGUGCAGUUCCCAGCACACAUACAAGCCACAGCUGCUCAGACGUCUUUGGACUAGAGCUGUGGCCUGUGUGACAUCAAAGUGGCAGAGCAGCUGCUUUUGGAACAGUCAGGAAGAAUGAUGGCAACAGGGAGUUUAACC
rnacentral:lncRNA from 1 species